UGGACCGUUUGAUGGAAAGAGUUCAUUUCUAUUAAGAGUUGAUACAAGUGGCGGUGGGAUUUUUGCUUGGUCUAGUUUUCCUUUUUUUAGGUUGAUUUCUCGCGAAAUCAUGGGAACAGGAAGCGAGUGAGACAAGUUGUUUUGGUAAGACUGAUCAACCUUCUCAGUUGGAAAAGUAAGAUAAAAACUCCACUUUCCAGGAAGACGACCCAAAGCAGCUUUUAAUCUUUCAAAGCCUUUCCACUGAGGCCUUAAGAAUGCAGACUUUAAGUCAAUAUUUGCUACCCAUAGAGUGUCCUUAGGUUCAGAACUAGAAGGUUUUGCAUCAAUACCACUAACCAAAUAGCUAUCUUUGUCAAGAGUGACAGAUAGAAUACCUUAUUAACUGUAAGCAAUAAAAAUUUCAAAAUCUUAAAGAUACCCGAAAUUG